CCCUUAGAUGUUCUGGGCCGCACGCGCGCUACACUGAUGCAUUCAACGAGCCUAUCCUUGACCGACAGGUCCGGGUAAUCUUUGAAUCUGCAUCGUGACGGGGAUAGAUUAUUGCAAUUAUUAAUCUUCAACGAGGAAUGCCUAGUAGGCGCAAGUCAUCAGCUUGCGUCGAUCACGUCCCUGCCCUUUGUACACACCGCCCGUCGCUCCUACCGAUUGGGUGUGCUGGUGAAAUGUUCGGAUCGGCCGUUUGUCGCGGUUUCCGCGUCAUGUGGCUGAGAAGUUCAUUAAACCCUCCCACCUAGAGGAAGGAGAAGUCGUAACA
rnacentral:rRNA from 1 species